UCCCUCCAGGAAGGAAUCAUGCUUUGUUUCCCUGUGUUGGCUCCAUCUGUUCAGUCAAACAAUGCAAAGCUGAGCAUCCUCCAGCAUGACACGCUCUCCCUCGAUUCCCAUUUCCCAAUGUUGCAGGGAAACUGAGUGGUCAACCCUCUUCCCCAAGUGGUGGGUUUCGGAUAUGAAUCCUGGCCAUCCCUCAUUCGUCAACUCCUCCUGGGCCCAUUCAUUCACUGCAAGGGCGUCUCUUCAGCCGUCCAUGAUUUCUCACACCCAGCUGGGAGAGGAACAUCCAGCAGGCCCACGGACUGGAGGAGGCAUCCAAGGCCACCCUGAGGCUCUGCACAUCUUGUGAUCUAGAUGUUCAUCUGAAGAUUUCCUCCCCACCCACCCAAAUUGGUUGAAAUGAGUUCAGAUCACCAGGACCAGAUAGAUUACAUCAAAUGUGACCUCACCACCAUUGAACUAUAUCUUUCAAAGAUCCUGGAGCAAUGGGGAACUACCAGAUGACUUUUUCCCUUCAAAAAAGGAAAAAUAUGGAUGUGGACCUAUCAGCCUGAUAUCAGUACAGGUGCAGCAGCUGUGGCUGAUGGUGACGGUGACGGUGGAAGAGUCCUAUCUCGUGUCUUUCCCUUCCUUCCUGGGACCAGCAGCAGAGCCCUCCUGACCUUCAGUGGAAACUAAUUUGGACCACUUGUGCUGGCUUCCAGAUGCAUUGCAGUUCCCUUCCCAUCAUCCCCAGCCAGGAGAAGCAUCAGCAUCUGGAGGUAUCCUGGGAAAAGUGAACAGGCUCAAAUUUUCUUGCAGCCAAAAUGAAAGAUGCUAAUAAGGGGCAAAGGGGAUGAUGGUCAUCUGACAUUUUUGAAGAUACGAACCAGAUCAGCCCUUUUCCAGUCCUCUGGUGGGUCCCCUGUUCUACAGCAUUACAUUCAGCGACUCCAAGAUCACAUCUGCUGCUUUUUCAGAACACGGAUUUGUAUUCAGCCAGGACUGAAGUUAUUCCUUCCAUCUUGCCUAUUUUAACUUGUGUACCUAUUUUAUUUUUAUUUUAUUUUUUAUUUUAUUUUAUUUGUGCAUAAGAGCACAAAAUGUGCCUACUGUUCCUGUCCUAUGGAUUCCUUUCAUCAUAUCCAAUUAAUAUAGUUAUUACAUACUUAUGCUCAUUUAUAUGCUUAUAUAUUAUAUAGUUAUUUUCAUGCUUAUGCUUAUAUAUA